CAAGUAACAGGCAGCCAAAACAGCGAUUGAACUGAUGAACGAAAUCAAUAGUCACAAAGUAAUGGCGACUACAUUUGGAUAUCAAAACAUCAACAGCAUUGUCGCAGCCAUCCAUCCGAAACAGGUGAAUAACAAAACGGCCAACAAAAUGUAGAGGAUUAGCCACCGCUGGAUAGCAAAGAUAAACAUCUGCCACAACUGCAAACCGAUGGUGAAGUACGUGGAAAUCGACAGGAGACCAACAGCCACACAUCCCUGUAGGUAAACUUACAUGAAUUGACGUGUUCAUAAUGUCGCCUCAUUUUACGUAGAACUUACAAUGACCGCGAAGACAAGACCAACAUUAAAAAUGGCACGAAAGACGGAAAAUUCCUUCAGAUUGAAUUGAUUCAUUCGCUCCAUGCGAUCGAGAACACGGACGAGAUCUUCCCAGCGAACUGCGGUGACGGCCAGGAGAACGGUGUGGGUCGCUAUCAUGGAAGAGAUCGUGUUGUAGGUACUUAUUCCUUCGUUCCAUCGCGACGCAGUUGUGCUGUUGUUGAAUUCUUCCGAGUCCGGUGAAAGUGACGAAACAUUGCCAGCGUCUUGGCAGAGAAUAAUAAUGAUCAAACCUAUUGCUACAUUCGUGCAGUACAGAAUCCAUCCAAGGAUGUAGACCAUCCAGGCGGAGUAGCUCGGCUCGUCUUCCUUCAUUUUUAAAGGAAUUCCGAAAAUGUUGGUGACGAUCAAAACCGGACGGCAACACCAUUUGAAGCUCAUCAUCAUCUGUUCAUCAGACGAGCAGCUCGUCUGCCGUGCAACUCUUUUUCUCAACAUGUUUCGCUCGACUGUAGGGAGUAGCGCCGCUACCUGUUGUCUCGAUUGAUUUAUGAUGGCCGUGCUGAAGUGUCCUAGCGCACAUAUAAAUUUCAAUAAAGUUGAGUGCUGUAUAUUCAUUUAUUAUAGGAGAUACCUCCCAAUCGUGUCCAGACGACCUUGUUUUGUUUUUCUCCGUAAAUUGAAAGUGUAUAGAAACUACUGCAGCUUAUUGUCCUAAGCAACUAUCUGCUAGACUGUGGAACUUGGCGCAUUGAACUGGGUGGAGUUUAUCGCGGAGUUAACUUUUCGGCGGAAUAUUAAUACAAAGUUAUUGGAUUUCAA